rnacentral:misc_RNA from 1 species
UGUUGCUAUGCUUGGUUUUGCUGUGAGUUCCUUCUUCCUCUUCUUCUUUCUCAUUUUUGUUUAUAUUUCAGAGAUUACAGUAAGCUUUUAGUAAUUAUUACUCAAUUUUAACUGUCUUUUCAUAGUUUAUUACAGGAGAUCUAUUACUUAAUUUAGAACUUGAAAUUUAUAGAUAUGGUGGCUCAAUAAUAAAUUUGAUAUAAAAAUAUGAACUUAUAGCAGGCAUGCGCAUAGCCAAGUAGCUAUGGCAUCCUUAUAAUAAUCUAGGAGUCCAGGUUUCAAUUCGCUAUAUUAAAAAAAAUAAUUAAAAAAAAGCCUUAAAGCUAGCUGAAUUAUUGGGUCUUCUGACUGUGGAAGGAAGAAGAAGAAACAUGUUUCCUAGGUAAUAGAGUUUUGUUUAAUCAGAAAAGACAAUCAUUGAUAAUCAAGAGAAAUAAGAGAUUGUUACCAUAAAAAAAAUAUUUAUCAAAUUAAGAUUCUUCUACAUUAGCAUUAUUAGUGGAUUAGUAAUUAAAUAAUUGGACAUGUGUUUUGUAAUAGAAUAAAUAUUAUAAAUAUGUAUACGAAAGUAUUCUUUUUAAUUGAUUUAGCUUAAAAUUUAAAUUCGAAAUUUUAGAGUUUUAAAAAUUACUCCAAUACUAUUUAUUUUUACUCUUGUUAUUUGAGAAAGAGUGAAAUAAAUGAGAAAUAGAAUGAGAAAUCAAUUUUAUAACGGUGAUUGGAAACAAAUAUUUGCAGGCAUCCUUGUUGGGUGAAGCAAUAACAGGAAAAGGAAUUCUAGCACAGUUGAACCUAGAGACAGGAAUUCCCAUUUAUGAAGCAGAACCACUUCUUCUUUUCUUUAUCCUUUUCACUCUGCUUGGAGCCAUUGGAGCAUUAGGUGACCG